rnacentral:rRNA from 1 species
AUGAACGCUGGCGGCGUGCCUAAUCCAUGCAAGUCGAGCGAACAGACGAGGAGCUUGCUCCUCUGACGUUAGCGGCGGACGGGUGAGUAACACGUGGAUAACCUACCUAUAAGACUGGGAUAACUUCGGGAAACCGGAGCUAAUACCGGAUAAUAUAUUGAACCGCAUGGUUCAAUAGUGAAAGACGGUUUUGCUGUCACUUAUAGAUGGAUCCGCGCCGCAUUAGCUAGUUGGUAGGGUAACGGCUUACCAAGGCGACGAUGCGUAGCCGACCUGAGAGGGUGAUCGGCCACACUGGAACUGAGACACGGUCCAGACUCCUACGGGAGGCAGCAGUAGGGAAUCUUCCGCAAUGGGCGAAAGCCUGACGGAGCAACGCCGCGUGAGUGAUGAAGGUCUUCGGAUCGUAAAACUCUGUUAUUAGGGAAGAACAAAUGUGUAAGUAACUAUGCACGUCUUGACGGUACCUAAUCAGAAAGCCACGGCUAACUACGUG